GCGCGAAAACUUUGCACUGUGCGAAAGCACGACAAGGGAAUCCCAAGUGCUAGCUCGUAAGAGUUAGCUGUUUCUCUGUCUAAAAAACAGAGAGAGUAAGGGCUGGGUAAGACGGGUGCCAGCCGCCGCGGUAAUACCUGCAGCCCAAGUGGUGACUGUUAUUAUUGGGCCUAAAACGUCCGUAGCCGGUCCUGUAAAUGCCUGGGUAAAUCGUAUCGCUUAACGAUACGAAUUCCGGGUAGACUGCAGGACUUGAGAUCGGGAGAGGAUAGAGGUACUCCUGGGGUAGAGGUGAAAUUCUGUAAUCCUAGGGGGACCACCAGUGGCGAAGGCGUCUAUCUAGAACGAGUCUGACGGUCAGGGACGAAGCCCUGGGGCGCAAACGGGAUUAGAUACCCGGUAGUCCAGGGUGUAAACGCUGCUCGCUUGAUGUUAGCUGGGCUCCGAGCCCGGCUAGUGUCGGAGAGAAGUUGUUAAGCGAGCUGCCUGGGAAGUACGGUCGCAAGACUGAAACUUAAAGGAAUUGGCGGGGG
rnacentral:rRNA from 1 species